UACGGGGGGAGCAAGCGUUGUUCGGAUUUACUGGGCGUAAAGGGCGCGUAGGCGGUCAGCACAAGUCAGUUGUGAAAUCUCCGGGCUUAACCCGGAAAGGUCAACUGAUACUGUGCGACUAGAGUGCGGAAGGGGCAACUGGAAUUCUUGGUGUAGCGGUGAAAUGCGUAGAUAUCAAGAGGAACACCUGCGGCGAGGGCGGGUUGCUGGGCCGACACUGACGCUGAAGCGCGAAAGCCAGGGGAGCGAACGGG
rnacentral:rRNA from 1 species